GGUGUGGGUUUUUUUGUUUUUGUUUUUUUAAAGUUUAACCUAUUUUAGUUUCCCUCCAUGUAUUAGUCAGGGUUCUCUAAAAGGACAGAAGUAAUAUAUGAAUGUAUGAAGGGAGUUGAUUAGGAGAACAGACUCACACCAUCACAAGUUGAAGUCCCACGAUAGGCCAUCUGCAAGCUGAGGAGCCAGGAAGCCAGUCUUGGCUGAGGUUUUGAGUCUCAAAACCUCACAAGCAGGGAAGCCGACAGUGCAGCUUUCAGUUUGUGGCCAAAGGCCCAAGAGCCCCCGGCAAACCACUGGUGUAGGUCCGAGAGUCCAAAAGCUGAAGAACUCGGAGUCCAAUGUUCGAGGGCAGGAAGCAUCCAGUGCAAGAAAAAGAUGGAGGCCGGAAGUCUCAGCAAGUCUGCUCUUCCCAUGCCUGCUUUUAUGCUGACAGCGGAUUGUUUGUUGCUCACCCAGAUUGAGGGAGGGUCUGCCUCUCCCAGUCCACCGACUCAAAGACUCAAAUGUGAAUCCCCUUUGGCAGUCCCCUCACAGACGCUCCCAGGAACAAUACUUUGCAUCCUUCAAUCAAGUUGAGGCUUAACAUUCACCAUCACAGUCAGCUUCUUGAAUUUCUAGCUGCUGCCUAGCGGGGCCGGAGGAAGCUGUGAAAAGAUGACCAACGUCAGAACAUCCUGCUGAUGAUUUAAAGUGCCGAUUCGAAGAGCUUCAAGAGUCUCCUGAAAUGAGCCCGUGUGCCAGUCUAGUGACCUCACCUGCUCCUCAUGCUCCCCUUCGCUGCCUGGCAAGGGCUGUGCCUGAAGCCUCUUGUGUUGAGCUCAUCAUCGGUUACAAGCACUGGGGACACACGGCGCUGAGAAAGCUGCAGAGCUGCAGAGCUGCAGCCCCGGAGCCAAGGCAAAUGAGAUGCGGUCAAAACCUCGUGCCUGUGACCACAGAUACGCAGCGGGGUGAGUCCUGCCAUGGGCGGGGUGCGGCUGUGCACAUGAGAGCUCAAAAGGGUGGGGUGUGGCCAGGGCAGGCUUCCCUGAAGGGAGCCAGGGAGAGUGAGCAGCAGAAGCCAGGAGGAGCAGGGCAGAAGAGAAGAGAGUGUUCCAAGCAGAGAGAACAGGCUACACCAGGGCCCUGUGGCAGGACGAAGCUUGGCACGUCUGAGGAUCUGGAAGGGGUCAGAGCAGCCCAGACAGGGUGGGCAGGCCAGUGGGCAGACUGGAGCAUGCGGGAACUGCAGGCCAGGCUGGGGACAUUGUGCAGCUGUGGUACGCUGUCAGCAGCAAUGACACGUCCCCUCCUGCUACUCUGUGGAAGCUCAGAGGCCACUGCAGAUACACAGGAAAACACUGGAGGGAUAUUUAGGAGGUACAAACCACAGGACAGGGUGGCCAACUGGAUGUGGGGAGUGGGGCUGGGGGAAGUCAAGGGUGACACUAGCUCCUAAUGAGGCCUUUGAGGGCAGAGGGCUCAUGCCCAAGGCAGGGAGCCCCAAAGGUCUGUCCUUCACACAUCACCACUGCCGGGACUCCCUGGGCCAUCAGGCCUGAUGCUCACAGUCCUCCUGUGCCUCUGCUCGCCUCUCAGCACUGUGACCUGGGUGGCCCUGGCCGUGCUGCUCCACUUCGCCACAUAGACACCAUCUCCUUAUCCCCUGGAACUCUUAUACCAUGAGUUCCAUUAUAAUCUUCACUUCACACAGGAGGAAACUGAGGCUCACAGAGGUGAAAUAACUUACUGAAGGUCACACAACAAGGGUCAAAGCUAGAACUCAAGCCCCGAUCUGUGGAACACCAAGACUCAUGCCCUUCCCAGCUGCAUGAGUAGCUGGCCCUCAGCACCUGCAGAGGACUGGUUCAAGGACCCCAUGGAUACCAAAAUCUGCAGAGGCUCCAGUCCCUGAUGUAAAGUAGCAUGCUAGGCCGGGCGUGGUGGCUCACACCUGUAAUCCCAGCACUUUGGGAGGCUGAG